AAGCUUGCUCUUUUGAUGGCGAGUGGCGAACGGGUGAGUAAUGCAUCGGAACGUACCGAGUAGGGGGGGAUAACUGUCCGAAAGGAUGGCUAAUACCGCAUAUUCUCUGAGGAGGAAAGCAGGGGACCUUAGGGCCUUGCGCUUUUUGAGCGGCCGAUGUCUGAUUAGCUAGUUGGGGGGGUAAGAGCCCACCAAGGCGACAAUCAGUAGCGGGUCUGAAAGGAUGAUCCGCCACACUGGGACUGAAACACGGCCCAAACUCCUACGGGAGGCAGCAGUGGGGAAUUUUGGACAAUGGGCGCAAGCCUGAUCCAGCCUUGCCGCGUGUAUGAAAAAGGCCUUCGGGUUGUAAAGUACUUUUGUCAGGAAAAAAAAGCCUGGGGAUAACACCCUCGGGUCAUGACGGUACCUGAAGAAUAAGCACCGGCUAACUACGUG
rnacentral:rRNA from 1 species